rnacentral:rRNA from 1 species
CCUACGGGGGGCUGCAGUGGGGAAUAUUGGACAAUGGGGGGAACCCUGAUCCAGCCAUGCCGCGUGUGUGAAGAAGGCCCUCGGGUUGUAAAGCACUUUCAGUGAGGAAGAACGCCUGGUGGUUAAUACCCAUCAGGAAAGACAUCACUCACAGAAGAAGCACCGGCUAACUCCGUGCCAGCAGCCGCGGUAAUACGGAGGGUGCGAGCGUUAAUCGGAAUUACUGGGCGUAAAGCGCGCGUAGGUGGCUUGAUAAGCCGGUUGUGAAAGCCCCGGGCUCAACCUGGGAACGGCAUCCGGAACUGUCAAGCUAGAGUGCAGGAGAGGAAGGUAGAAUUCCCGGUGUAGCGGUGAAAUGCGUGGAGAUCGGGAGGAAUACCAGUGGCGAAGGCGGCCUUCUGGACUGACACUGACACUGAGGUGCGAAAGCGUGGGUAGCAAACAGGAUUAGAUACCCCAGUAGUC